rnacentral:rRNA from 2 species
UACGGAGGGUGCAAGCGUUGUCCGGAUUUAUUGGGUUUAAAGGGUGCGUAGGUGGUCAUUUAAGUCUGAUUUGAAAGCAGGCGGCUUAACCGUCUGAUGUGGUUGGAAACUGAAUGACUUGAAUGGGUUGGCGGUAGCCGGAAUGGGUCAUGUAGCGGUGAAAUGCAUAGAUAUGACCCGGAACACCGAUUGCGAAGGCAGGCUACUACGACUUGAUUGACACUGAGGCACGAGAGCAUGGGUAGCGAACAGG